AUGCCCCACAGAUGGGGGAGAGGACUUCUCCGCCUCCCUCUUGCUGAAAUAGUUCGUCGCACACGGACCUUUCGUCAUUAUCGCCGCUCGGCCGCGGGCACGGCUCUACAAGAAAUCUCUGCACUGCUAUGGGAUCAGAGGUCACCGCUGCACGGGACUAGGGCUGGUUUAUUAAACAGCCGAGCCUGUUUAAGGUGUAAUUCCUCAGGAAGAGCAGUGCGCUUAUGGCCAUUUAAAGGAGUUAACAGAGCGUUCCCGUUCAAGCCCGUGUGUGCUUUUCCCCAGGCACGAACCCCAGCUCGACGGGCGCCGGCAGAGUCGCCUCAGCCCCGCAGAAUUCUGGUAAAAUGCAGUAAAGGAUUUAAGGUUAUCGUCUGUCUCUCUCUAACUUCUGACAUCUCUUUAUAACAAGAAAGAGUCACAGCCAACUGUAACAGGAGGGCAACACAAUGAAUCCUGCUUUUCAGCCAGAAGAAUAUCCUGAAGCAAAUUACUGUCAGAAGCCAAAAUAUGUAUCCAUAAUUCCUCCUAAAGCACUGUCAACUUAAUUUUAAAGUUAUUUUUCUGCUUUACGAGUUCAGACUGAAGUGGUAAGUUUGCAAAUCCAUAAAUCAAAUCAUAAGAAAUAAAGA
rnacentral:lncRNA from 12 species